rnacentral:ncRNA from 1 species
AGUUUGACAAAGAUUAAAAGGGAAUUGAGUGAGAAUCUCAAACGGUCCGGCCGCUGUAAAUCAGCAAAUUAUUUUCAAUACCAUUGGAUUUUCUGAGAAGGUGAAAAUAGUGCUAGAGCUGUAAGUCAGAAGACCUGCUCAAAAUA